AAACUGAUUAUUACAAUUAUAAAGUGCCCCUCUCUCCUACGCGAAAAUAGUAUUUUCAUCUCUCUCCAUCUCAUGCUCUUUACAUCCAGAAAGUGCGAGUCCUCUCCGUGUUGUCGCCGGCACCUCUCCUCUCAUUGAGGGAGCUCGACUUUUACAUUGCUGGCGAUUGACGCGAAUUUGCUCCGAUCGAUUCGACGGCUGCUGUCGUUCAUUUCUCUUCUAUUGUGCAGGAAUCGUGACCGGCUGCCAAAGAUUAACUGUUUAAGGUUAUGGCUCUUGACAGCGUAAUAACUUCUCCUCAUAGGAGGUCACAGACACAAACAGCAUUUUCAUCUACUGAUCCAAAGAAGAAUCAAUACUCCCGAAGUAAUGAACUUGGGAGCUGUUCAACAGUACUUCAGCGCCACCGGUUCCUUCUAACUGCGCUUGGCCUCCUAGCUUUUCUCUGCACUAUCUAUCUUUACUUUGCUGUCACUCUAGGGGCUGGUGACUCCUGUUCUGACUUGACAGGGACUCAAAAAGCAGCAUGUUAUGUGGAGCGCGGGAAAGCACACAUGGGCAAAGGAAAACUUAAGUUCUUUUAGCAAAUUGAUGGCUGCAGGCUAAUAUCUUAGUAUAUGAUAAUUUCUUUUUCUUCUGAUAGGCAGGAAUUCCUAUCCAAAGUGUUUACUUAGGUUCUUUGGGUCUAUUGGGUGAUCAUUAGUUUGAUUGUAUUCUUAAAGAUGUAUAAUUUGGUUAUGGGAAACUGUUUGACAUCCGUAAAUAGGUCUAUCUAUUGGGAUGAACUCAACUGAGGGAUGUUGGUGAGGCUCGAGUGACUGUUAAAUGGCAUAUCUUGUGGACAAUGUGAUUAUGAAUGUAUGGUAAAGAUGACAUUAUUAGGUGCAAAUGAAAAAAAAUAAUAGAAAAAAUAUCACCUUUUGAGACUUCUUGACAUCACUCCAUCCUUUGCGUGUGACCGGUGUGGGUUGGGCUUUUAUAAAUACUUGCAGCGACUUUUUCGUUAGGCCGAAAGUUCUUUGUAAUGUAAUUUGUUGUGCCUUUUUGUCUUUGUCAGAACGUCAUAAUCCGCGUUUCACCGACUCUUACAUGUGACUAGUGUGUUGUAUUUUCUAGGGGAGGUUGGGACUAUGAAGUUGACUCUCUUAUGCUGUUUGCCAUAAAAGCCUCAACUCAUCCAGGACUUUCUCCUAAGGAUAUACUGAAAGUCCACAAUAAUGCGUGGAAAGUUUCUCUUGUAUGAAAGCCAAUUCGAAACAAGCAAUAAAAGACUCCUCCUGGACACCUUUGGGACAUGCGUUACCUUGAAAAAUUCCUUAGCAUAAAACUAUUUAUCUCCACUGGUGUCCUACUUAACA